UAAACGUUAUAACCAGAAGGAAAAUAGCUAUUUAAAAAAGUUGCAUAAAUCUCUGGACAUCUCUGGGCAACCUAAAGUGACUGAACAGACAUUCAUAAUGCUCUGCAAAUAUAUCUGUGUGUUCUCUAAAGUUGUUUUCUUUCCUUAGAGCACACGUUGUAACGUCUUUGUUCCAAACACAAGGCAUUCUUUAGAGUAAGCUGAAAUGAAAUGGAAGCAGAUAAGCAUCCCACCAUUCCUGCGCUCUCCCCUGUGGAGGAUUGAUGAAGUGAAAAGCCACAGAACUGUCCAUGCAGCCUUCAACUGUUCCAGCCAGUUCCUACUGAUAAUCUACUGGAGUUAA
rnacentral:lncRNA from 1 species